AUUGAACGCUGGCGGAAUGCUUUACACAUGCAAGUCGAACGGCAGCACGGGGCAACCUGGUGGCGAGUGGCGAACGGGUGAGUAAUACAUCGGAACGUGCCCAAUCGUGGGGGAUAACGUAGCGAAAGUUACGCUAAUACCGCAUACGAUCUACGGAUGAAAGCGGGGGAUCGCAAGACCUCGCGCGAAUGGAGCGGCCGAUGUCAGAUUAGGUAGUUGGUGGGGUAAAGGCUCACCAAGCCGACGAUCUGUAGCUGGUCUGAGAGGACGACCAGCCACACUGGGACUGAGACACGGCCCAGACUCCUACGGGAGGCAGCAGUGGGGAAUUUUGGACAAUGGGCGCAAGCCUGAUCCAGCCAUUCCGCGUGCAGGAUGAAGGCCUUCGGGUGUAAACUGCUUUGUACGGAACGAAACGGUUACGUCUCUAAUACAGGGGCUAAGUGACGGUACCGUAAGAAUAAGCACCGGCUAACUACGU
rnacentral:rRNA from 1 species